rnacentral:rRNA from 1 species
AUUGAACGCUGGCGGCAUGCUUUACACAUGCAAGUCGGACGGCAGCACAGAGAAGCUUGCUUCUUGGGUGGCGAGUGGCGAACGGGUGAGUAACAUAUCGGAACGUACCGAGCAGUGGGGGAUAACUAAUCGAAAGAUUAGCUAAUACCGCAUAUCUUCUGAGGAAGAAAGCAGGGGACCAUUUGGCCUUGCGCUGUUUGAGCGGCCGAUAUCUGAUUAGCUAGUUGGUGGGGUAAAGGCCUACCAAGGCGCCGAUCAGUAGCGGGUCUGAGAGGAUGAUCCGCCACACUGGGACUGAGACACGGCCCAGACUCCUACGGGAGGCAGCAGUGGGGAAUUUUGGACAAUGGGCGCAAGCCUGAUCCAGCCAUGCCGCGUGUCUGAAGAAGGCCUUCGGGUUGUAAAGGACUUUUGUCAGGGAAGAAAAGGGCGGGGUUAAUACCCCUGUCUGAUGACGGUACCUGAAGAAUAAGCACCGGCUAACUACGUG